UACGUAGGUGGCAAGCGUUGUCCGGAUUUACUGGGCGUAAAGCGUGCGCAGGCGGUUUGUUAAGUCCGUUGUGAAAGCCCCGAGCUCAACUUGGGAAUUGCAGUGGAUACUGGCAGGCUGGAGUACGGUAGAGGAAGGUGGAAUUCCCGGUGUAGCAGUGAAAUGCGUAGAGAUCGGGAGGAACACCAGUGGCGAAGGCGGCCUUCUGGACCAGUACUGACGCUCAUGCACGAAAGCGUGGGGAGCAAACAGG
rnacentral:rRNA from 1 species